CCAGAUGUUCCAUCAGCCGUAACCUAAGGGCGCGCAUGCAUGGUUGGUAACGACCAUGUGUGAAGCCGCCCUGACAAUGUAACCUGCCCGCGGGAGCUGCAACGCUCCCGUGAGCAGGCGUUGUUCUCUGCCAGCAUCAGGCGGAGGUGGUA
rfam:Candidatus Burkholderia brachyanthoides strain TZHbot7 BRCHctg416, whole genome shotgun sequence.